CCUACGGGUGGCAGCAGGGAGGAAGAGUGGGCAAUGGACGAGAGUCUGAACCAGCCAAGUAGCGUGAAGGAUGACGGCCCGAUGGGGGGUAAACUGCUGUUAUAGGGGAAUAAAAUGUUCCACGUGUGGGAUUUUGUAUGUACCAUAUGAAUAAGGAGCGGCUAACUCCGUGCCAGCAGCCGCGGUAAUACGGAGGAUCCGAGCGUUAUCCGGAUUUAUUGGGUUUAAAGGGAGCGUAGGUGGAUUGUUAAGUCAGUUGUGAAAGUUUGCGGCUCAACCGUAAAAGUGCAGUUGAAACUGGCAGUCUUGAGUACAGUAGAGGUGGGCGGAAUUCGUGGUGUAGCGGU
rnacentral:rRNA from 1 species